GACGAACGCUGGCGGCGUGCCUAAUACAUGCAAGUUGAGCGAUGAAGAUUGGUGCUUGCACCAAUUUGAAGAGCAGCGAACGGGUGAGUAACGCGUGGGGAAUCUGCCUUUGAGCGGGGGACAACAUUUGGAAACGAAUGCUAAUACCGCAUAAUAACUUUAAACAUAAGUUUUAAGUUUGAAAGAUGCAAUUGCAUCACUCAAAGAUGAUCCCGCGUUGUAUUAGCUAGUUGGUGAGGUAAAGGCUCACCAAGGCGAUGAUACAUAGCCGACCUGAGAGGGUGAUCGGCCACAUUGGGACUGAGACACGGCCCAAACUCCUACGGGAGGCAGCAGUAGGGAAUCUUCGGCAAUGGACGAAAGUCUGACCGAGCAACGCCGCGUGAGUGAAGAAGGUUUUCGGACCGUAAAACUCUGUUGAUAGAGAAGAACGUUGGUGAGAGUGGAAAGCUCAUCAAGUGACGGUAACUACCCAGAAAGGGACGGCUAACUACGUG
rnacentral:rRNA from 1 species